rnacentral:rRNA from 1 species
GAUGAGCGCUGGCGGCGUGCCUAAUACAUGCAAGUCGAGCGAACGGACGAGAAGCUUGCUUUUCUAAUGUUAGCGGCGGACGGGUGAGUAACACGUGGAUAACCUACCUAUAAGACUGGGAUAACUUCGGGAAACCGGAGCUAAUACCGGAUAAUAUUUUGAACCGCAUGGUUCAAAAGUGAAAGACGGUCUUGCUGUCACUUAUAGAUGGAUCCGCGCUGCAUUAGCUAGUUGGUAAGGUAACGGCUUACCAAGGCAACGAUGCAUAGCCGACCUGAGAGGGUGAUCGGCCACACUGGAACUGAGACACGGUCCAGACUCCUACGGGAGGCAGCAGUAGGGAAUCUUCCGCAAUGGGCGAAAGCCUGACGGAGCAACGCCGCGUGAGUGAUGAAGGUCUUCGGAUCGUAAAACUCUGUUAUUAGGGAAGAACAUAUGUGUAAGUAACUGUGCACAUCUUGACGGUACCUAAUCAGAAAGCCACGGCUAACUACGUG